GUGAGUUUAGCUCAGUUGGUAGGACAAUGCAUUAUUAUAUGCAGCGGUCGAGGUUCGAAUCCUGGACACCCCACU
rnacentral:tRNA from 1 species